UCAAUAAUGUCUGCUGACACCUGUCUCUGUAUUAAACAAAAGUACAACAAGAUUGGAAAAAGUGAUCAUAAUUACCUCUGUGAUUAAGGGAGUAGCAGCAAAAAGGGAAGGAGCAAAAAAAUUAAAUUGGACAGGGCAAGGUGAUCUUCAAAAAAAGUCUUUCCAAAUUCUUAAAUUUUGUCAAGUUAUUGAAAAAGCAAUACGAAGAAAUUUGCUGACAAAAGAUACCACACACAGCGAAAUUCAAAAGGCAGUUGUGGCUUUUUUUAUUGGAGCUCUAGGCAGAAAUAGAGGCAGAAAAGAAAGAGCAGAAAAAAAGUCCACCCAAAAAACCAGUUCAACAAAAAAUCGUGGCUAUACUGCCCAAUCAUUGACAUUGAAACCUUUAUCUGGAUUAUCAUUACC
rnacentral:lncRNA from 1 species